UAGAUUCAUUGAAUAAUGAAGAAAGUAUUGUGAAUGACAUGAUUGUAAAUAAUGUAAGUACAGAAGGAAAGAAAAUAGAAGCACUAUGUGUGGCUCAAUCUGAAGAUAUAUGUGAGAUCCAAUGUACAGAUAUCUCUGAAUACAUAGAAUCUGAAGAGGAUACUACAACAAGCCAGAUUCUUGGUAGCAGUAAAUAUAAAGGUAUAUUGGAUAAAGAAGUUUUAUUGCAACAAAUUACAUUUGAU